AUUGAACGCUGGCGGCAUGCUUUACACAUGCAAGUCGAACGGUAACAGGGAGCUUGCUCCGCUGACGAGUGGCGAACGGGUGAGUAAUGCAUCGGAACGUACCCAGUCGUGGGGGAUAACGUAGCGAAAGUUACGCUAAUACCGCAUACGUCCUGAGGGAGAAAGCGGGGGACCGUAAGGCCUCGCGCGAUUGGAGCGGCCGAUGUCGGAUUAGCUAGUUGGUAGGGUAAAGGCCUACCAAGGCGACGAUCCGUAGCGGGUCUGAGAGGAUGAUCCGCCACACUGGGACUGAGACACGGCCCAGACUCCUACGGGAGGCAGCAGUGGGGAAUUUUGGACAAUGGGCGCAAGCCUGAUGCAGCGACGCCGCGU
rnacentral:rRNA from 1 species